rnacentral:lncRNA from 1 species
UAAUAAAAGAAACGCUUUAAAUUUUUUAGGUAUUCGUAAACAAAAAAAACAAUGUUUCAAAUUAUAAGCAUGAGAGUAAGAAUAAUACAUCAUAUGAUGUAUUAAAAAUAUCACCUGUUGAAAAAAAAAAGUUAAUGUCACAUGACGCAUCUUAUACGAUUGCAAGUAAUACCUGUUCAGUGUUAUCACCAUAUAAAAACACGCUAAAAAUUAGCUCAGACAAUAAUGACAAUAAUAAAAAUAGUGAUGAAAGCACUAAAAGUGGUAUUAACAAUAAUUAUGUAGAAAAUCAAAAUGCUCAACAAAAAGGUUUUUUAACAAAAGAAAAAAAAAACAGGUUUUAUUGGUUGGAACAAAUUGUUUAUAAUAAUAUAAACAAUAGUUAUGAUAAAAAUGAAAUAAAAAUUUUUCAUAUUUAUCAUGAUAGUAGAGCUGAAUGUUUAUUUAAUGACAUAAGCAUAAUAAAAUUUUACUGGCAUAAAAAUAUAUGUAUAUAUGAAAAUAAAAAUUAUAUAUAUAAUGAAAUUAAUAAAAAAUUGUUUCAAAAAGAAGAAGAAAAAAAAAAAAGACAUACCUUUCGAUUUAAGUAAUGAUAAUAUAUAUGAGUAUUUAUAUAAAGAAAAAAUGAAAAUAAAUAACAGCAAAAGUAAUAAUAAUAAUCAACAAGGCAGUAAUAAUAAAAAUCAACAAGGCAGUAAUAAUAAAAAUCAACAAGACAAUAAUAAUAAACAAGAUAGUAAUAAUAAACAAGAUAGUAAUUUAAAAAAUGGAAUAAAUAUUGAAAAUGAUAAUAAUAAUAAUAAUGAAAAAAUACAAUAUAUACAAUUUUAUAUUCAUAAAUACCCUUCUUUUUUAAAAGAAAAAAUAAAAAUAUUUAUACAUAUAUAUAAUAUGUUUAGUUUGUAUCCAUAUAUUAAUCACAAAUUUGUAGAAGAACAAAUUUAUUCAAAAAGUUUAAAAAUUACAUGUAUUUCUGAAAAAAUUUUACACAUAAAAUGGAAUUUUUUAAAUGAAACUGAAUUAAAAAUUAUAUUAAAUGAAAUAAUUAACAAACGUAAAAAAUAUAAUUUAAUUAAUAAUUUUGUAAAAAUUAACAAUUUUCUUUAUAUCAAUUUUUUAACACAAGAAAUAAAGGUAUACGAUAUACAUAGCCAUAAUAAUAGUAGUAGUAAUGGCAGUAGUAUUAGUAUUAGUGACAGUAGUAGUAGUAGUAGUAAUAAUUGUUAUAAUAAGGAAGGGAAUAAGAAGAAGAAUAAACAAUUAAUCGAUUCCAAUUAUAUUAUGUUAAAUGGUAAUGGACUUUGUUUUUCAGUACAUUAUCACAUACUUGUUCCUUAUCACAGACACAUAAGUGAAAAAUCAAAUGGUCAGAAUGAGAAUGACCAUUUAACUGCUGAUUAUAAUGGUGUCGAAUGUAAUAGUUCCGUUGUCAGUGACGAAAAAAAUUGUGACGGUUCAUUUAGUCAUAAUAUAAGUGAUCACAAUAUGAACGACUUAGAUGUGAACGACUUAGAUGUGAACGACUUAAAUGUGAACGACUUGAACAUAAACGACUUGA